rnacentral:lncRNA from 10 species
UGGGGUCCCCUCCCCCAAGCUGCCCUGUGCCCCGGGACCAGGACAUGGCCAGUGCAUGUGCCAGGGCUGCCCGCCCACCCGGCAAGGCCAGCUCCACCUGUGGAGUUGAGGAUGGGCUGAGCCCACUUGCAAGCCCAGGACCCAUGGGGCAGCUCCACCCUGUGCACCUUGUCCCUUGUGCAGCAGCUCAGAGCUGGUGGUGACAGCCAAGGGGGCAAAGGGGACGACUGACCACAAGUGAGGCCCAGUGGAGCUGCCCACCCCGUGUAUCCUUUGGUUGGGGUCAGGUGCUGGGGCCCCAGUCCUCUUUGUUUCAGCACCCUGGGCCCAACCUGAACCUGUCCUCUGCCCCAUAUCCCUGGCAGGCCUCCCUGCACCCCCACCCACUGGGGCUGGCUUAGGCAAGGGUGUUUGAGACAAAGACCCUGCCCCCAUGGCCAGGUACCUCAGAACCCAGGCCAGAUCCACACAAGGCUCUCGGUCAGUCCCAGAUGGAAGCUCCAGUCCCAGGCCGUGACAUGCAUCAGCUCCCACACCCAGGAUUGUCCCAGAGAAAGCGCUCUGCCCUCCCCGUCCACAGCACCACGAGGGCCAUAACUGCACUGCCACACCUCUCCAGUUCCAGAGACAUCCCUGAGAGGCAGCCAUCAGGGGUGCCCAGCUGAGGACACGCCUCCUUGGGGACCCUCAUUCCUGAGUCCAUGCCUCCAGAUUCACGAUCUCAGAGACAACCACAUCCGCAACUGGCACGUGUCCCCACCGAAGGGGCUCAAGUAAGUGACUGGAGUGACCAGGGUGGAUGGGCCUGGAGUACCUGGGUCUAUAGCCCACGCCCGGAGCAGGAAAUGGGGGAGACCUGGGGUACCUGGGUCUGUAGCCCACACCCAGAGCAGGAAAUAGGGGAGACCUGGGGUACCUGAGUCUGUAGCCCACAUCCAGAGCAGGAGAGAGGGGAGACCUGGAGUACCUGUACCUGUACCUCAGCUACAGUAUCUGAGUCUGUAGCCCACAUCUGAAGCAGGAGAGAGGAGAGGGCCAUUUUGGAGUCCACCAGGUAGCCCCAGUAGGACAGGGAGAGGCUGUGUAUGAGAUGGGAUGGGUGGUGGGCCAUGGCUGUGACACUGGAGGGGACAGGGCGGGGAUACCUUCUCAGACUAUGACACUCAGAGGCAAGGUAGGAUCUCGGCCCACACAACAGCACACGGAUGGUGCCCUUAUGGGAGAGAGCGGGGCCAUGCAUGGGGCCUGUGACAGCUUGGGAGGUGGGGGCCAGGGGAGUUUGGUUUCCUGGGUUACGGAAUGCUGGGUGUGUGUGAAGUAGGAGGCACCAGCCACACUGUUUCACCAGGGGCUGUGAUCUGGGCCCCACCCUUGUGACUCUGGGGCUUCUGGAUGAUGACCUCUCCCCAGACCUCACCCAUGAUUUCCCCGUGGAUUGGUUAAAAAUUCAAUGCAAGGUCCAGGUCAAUAAUGCACCCAAAAUAAAGCUGAAAGUUACAACCGCAUGCAACAAAACUUAUUGUGACUUAGCCCCGGCGCAGUGGCUCACGCCUGUAAUCCCAGCACUUUGGGAGGCCGAGGCAGGUGGAUCACAUGAGGUCAGGAGUUCGAGACCAGCCUGGCCAACAUGGUGAAACCCCGUCUCUACUGAAAAUACAAAAAUUAGCAGGAUGUGAUGGCAGGCGCUUGUAAUCUCAGCUACUCAGGAGGCUGAGGCAGGAGAAUCACUUGAACCCAGGAGGCAGAGGUUGCAGUGAGCUGAGAUUGUAUCACUGCACUCCAGCCUGGGUG